rnacentral:rRNA from 1 species
CAUGCAAGUCGAACGAGAGAGAGGGAGCUUGCUUCCUUGAUCGAGUGGCGAACGGGUGAGUAACGCGUGAGGAACCUGCCUCAAAGAGGGGGAAAACAGUUGGAAACGACUGCUAAUACCGCAUAAGCCCACGACCCGGCAUCGGGAAGAGGGGAAAGGAGCAAUCCGCUUUGAGAUGGCCUCGCGUCCGAUUAGCUAGUUGGUGAGGUAACGGCCCACCAAGGCGACGAUCGGUAGCCGGACUGAGAGGUUGAACGGCCACAUUGGGACUGAGACACGGCCCAGACUCCUACGGGAGGCAGCAGUGGGGAAUAUUGCACAAUGGGGGAAACCCUGAUGCAGCGACGCCGCGUGGAGGAAGAAGGUCUUCGGAUUGUAAACUCCUGUUGUUGAGGAAGAUAAUGACGGUACUCAACAAGGAAGUGACGGCUAACUACGUGCCAGCAGCCGCGGUAAAACGUAGGUCACAAGCGUUGUCCGGAAUUACUGGGUGUAAAGGGAGCGCAGGCGGGAAGACAAGUUGGAAGUGAAAUCCAUGGGCUCAACCCAUGAACUGCUUUCAAAACUGUUUUUCUUGAGUAGUGCAGAGGUAGGCGGAAUUCCCGGUGUAGCGGUGGAAUGCGUAGAUAUCGGGAGGAACACCAGUGGCGAAGGCGGCCUACUGGGCACCAACUGACGCUGAGGCUCGAAAGUGUGGG